GACGAACGCUGGCGGCGUGCCUAAUACAUGCAAGUAGGACGCAGUCGCGAACGAGUGAGUAACGCGUAGGUAACUCCCUAUUAGAGGGGGGUAACUAUUGGAUACGAUAGCCAAUACCGCAUCCGAGUCGAUGGACCUUCGUUGUAUUAGCUAGUAGGUAGGGUAAUGGCCUACCUAGGCAACGAUACAUACCCGACCGUAGAGGGUGAUCCGCCACACUGGGACUGAGGCACGGCCCCGACUCCUACGGGAGGCAGUAGUAGGGAUUCUUCGGCAAUGGGGGGAAGCCUGACCGAGCAACGCCGCGGGAGUGAAGAAGGUUUUCGGGUCGUAAAGCUCUGUUGUUAAGGGAGGGGUACUUAACCAGAAAGGGACGGCUAACUACGUGCCAGCGGCCGCGGUAAGAC
rnacentral:rRNA from 1 species